rnacentral:misc_RNA from 1 species
GUGAAUCAUCAAAUUUUUGAACGCAAAUUGCACUCUCUUUGGAGAGUAUGCCUGUUUGAGGGUCAGUAAUAAUAAAAUCGGGGUGUUGCUCUUUUGUGACACAACGGAGUUUGGGCUACCUUUAACUUCCGGGUUUAAGGGCCUUAAAAUGAACCUUUUUUCGGCACUUUUGGCGUAAAAUAAUUUUUUUUUUUUGU